AACGAACGCUGGCGGCAUGCCUAACACAUGCCAGUCGAACGAGACCUUCGGGUCUAGUGGCGCACGGGUGCGUAACGCCUGGUAACCUGCCCUUAGGUUCGGUAUAACUCCCCGAAAGGGGUGCUAAUACCGGAUAAUGUCUUCGGACCAAAGAUUUAUCGCCUUUGGAUGGGCCCGCGUUGGAUUCGCUAGUUGGUAGGGUAAUAGCCUACCAAGGCGACGAUCCAUAGCUGGUCUGAGAGGAUGAUCAGCCACACUGGGACUGAGACACGGCCCAGACUCCGACGGGAGGCAGCAGUGUGGAAUAUUGGACAAUGAGCGAUAGCCUGAUCCAGCAAUGCCGCGGGAGUGAUGAAGGCCUUAGGGUUGUAAAGCUCUUUUACACGGGAUGAUAAUGACAGUACCGGGAGAAUAAGCUCCGGCUAACUCCGUG
rnacentral:rRNA from 1 species